GGGGUGGUAGUUCAGCUGGUUAGAACGCCGGCCUGUCACGCCGGAGGCCGCGGG
rnacentral:tRNA from 1 species